UAUAACUAAGAUUUGCAAUCUGGUGCCUUCGGCGUCCGAGUUGUAAUUUGAAGAAGGUAUCUUUGGUUUUGGCUCUUGUCUAUGUUCCUUGGAACAGGACGUCACAGAGGGUGAGAAUCCCGUGCGAUGAGAUGCCCAAUUCCAUGUAAAGUUCCUUCGACGAGUCGAGUUGUUUGGGAAUGCAGCUCUAAGUGGGUGGUAAAUUCCAUCUAAAGCUAAAUAUUGGCGAGAGACCGAUAGCGAACAAGUACUGUGAAGGAAAGAUGAAAAGAACUUUGAAAAGAGAGUGAAAAAGUACGUGAAAUUGUUGAAAGGGAAGGGCUUGAGGUCAGACUUGGUUUUACCAGGCCAGCAUCAGUUUGGGUGGCAGGAUAAGUGCGUAGGAAAGUGGCUCCACCUCGGUGGAGUGUUAUAGCCUGCGUCGAUACUGCCUGCCUAGACUGAGGACUGCGUCUUUGACUAGGAUGCUGGCAUAAUGACCUUAAGCC
rnacentral:rRNA from 1 species